GACGAACGGUGGCGGCGUGCCUAAUACAUGCAAGUUGAGCGCUGAAGGUUGGUACUUGUACCAACUGGAUGAGCAGCGAACGGGUGAGUAACGCGUGGGGAAUCUGCCUUUGAGCGGGGGACAACAUUUGGAAACGAAUGCUAAUACCGCAUAAAAACUUUAAACACAAGUUUUAAGUUUGAAAGAUGCAAUUGCAUCACUCAAAGAUGAUCCCGCGUUGUAUUAGCUAGUUGGUGAGGUAAAGGCUCACCAAGGCGAUGAUACAUAGCCGACCUGAGAGGGUGAUCGGCCACAUUGGGACUGAGACACGGCCCAAACUCCUACGGGAGGCAGCAGUAGGGAAUCUUCGGCAAUGGACGAAAGUCUGACCGAGCAACGCCGCGUGAGUGAAGAAGGUUUUCGGAUCGUAAAACUCUGUUGGUAGAGAAGAACGUUGGUGAGAGUGGAAAGCUCAUCAAGUGACGGUAACUACACAGAAAGGGACGGCUAACUACGUG
rnacentral:rRNA from 1 species